UACAGAGGGUGCAAGCGUUGUUCGGAAUUAUUGGGCGUAAAGCGCGUGUAGGCGGCUUUGCAAGUCGGGUGUGAAAGCCCUCAGCUCAACUGAGGAAGUGCGCCCGAAACUGCAGAGCUUGAGUACCGGAGAGGGUGGCGGAAUUCCCCAAGUAGAGGUGAAAUUCGUAGAUAUGGGGAGGAACACCGGUGGCGAAGGCGGCCACCUGGACGGAUAAUGACGCUGAGACGCGAAAGCGUGGGGAGCAAACAGG
rnacentral:rRNA from 1 species